AAUCUCUAUUAGAGGCCAUGGAAGUAAGAAGAAGAAAGAGAGAGACACAGAUAGAGGAACCAAGUCAUGACAAGUGAAAGGAGGAGAAGAGGCAGACACCCGGACCCAGACCUGGACCAAGGCACCCUCGCCCGCCAUUGAUCUCAGAGCCAAGGUCUGGGGGGGAAGGCAAUGAGAAGCCUAGGACAGAGAUGCUGUCUCCCUUGGAUGAUGUAUGGAUGCAUGUGAAGCCUGGAACUAAAGAAGAAACUAGAUCUUUCCUUGAUGACAUGGGACACUGAACUUCACAGGCAGCCGUGUGAAAAUGAGCCAAGCAUCGUGUAUAUCUGAGACUUCGUUUUCUCAUCUAUGAAGUGGGCAUAAUUGUUUCCCUGCCCACUUCACAGGGUUGCGAUGGGGGAGUGUUAAGAAGCUUCUCUAGAUCCAGUAAGUGGUAAGUGGCAGCGCUCGGCUUCAUACCAGAGGGCGGGCUCUGAGCCCCCAGGCCACAUUGCUGCUCGACGGUCACACGGUCAACACAAACACACAUGAUUACUCCUAAGGGCCUUCUGUUCCCUGAGAAGAGAGGUCUUCAAAGUAUGGUCCCUGGGAAGCACCGUCAGCAUUCCCUGGGGACCUGUUAGAAAUGCAAAUUCUCGGCUCGCAUCCCAGGCCUAUCUGAUCAGAAAGUCGGGGAGGAGGCAGGAUUCUGAAGAAGCUCAGCAGGCAGUUCUGAUGCAUACUCAAAGUCCAGAACCACUGAGCUAGAAAAUACUUUCAAGAAGUCUGAUUCGUGUUCAAAUCUGGGCAAGACUAUUCCUUAAGGGGUGAGAGGAGUCAUUCGUGCUAAUGCUAAGGUCAUAUGGUAUGACUGCAGAAGUUGAAAUGGCAAAGAAAAAUGUAUGUCCAAUUGUAAUGUGCAAAUUAAGACUGCAAAAUUGAAUA